AUCUAAUGAUGACUGAACCAUGCUAAUACUGAGAAAUCAGAACAGUUCAUAGAACUUCUGCUGGGUUUCAAUGAGUUCAAAUUUUAAGUCACUGAAGGUA